UACGAAGGGGGCUAGCGUUGUUCGGAUUUACUGGGCGUAAAGCGCACGUAGGCGGAUCGUUAAGUCGGGGGUGAAAUCCUGGAGCUCACUCCAGAACUGCCUUCGAUACUGGCGAUCUUGAGUCCGGAAGAGGUGAGUGGAACUCCUAGUGUAGAGGUGGAAUUCGUAGAUAUUAGGAAGAACACCAGUGGCGAAGGCGGCUCACUGGUCCGGUACUGACGCUGAGGUGCGAAAGCGUGGGGGAGCAAAACAGG
rnacentral:rRNA from 1 species